rnacentral:lncRNA from 1 species
GCUUCGGUUUCAGAGAUAUGAGCCAAAAGCUGCAUUUUACCCUAAGUACUAUUUUAGCCAUGGCAGCCAUCUUGGUUCGCGGGCGGGGUAAUCGGACACAUUUUUAAAUACCCUAAUGAUGAUUGUGGACAAGUUUGGUUAAAUCUGUCAUAGUAGUUUCAGGAGGACUUUUGUAAAAGAUUACAAAAAUUUACUAUAAAGGGCAAUAACUCCUUGAGGGGUCAACUGACCCUUUUAGUCAUACUGACUUAUUUGUAGAAACUACUUUGCUGAACAUUAUUGAUGUUUACAGUUUAUAUCU